AGGCAGACUCUCAACCACUGCGCCACCAGGGGAGCCCACAACUGUAUUUUUGACACCGUCUGCCCCAAUCUGUUUUGUUUGUUGGUUGUUUAAUUAAUUCCUUUAGCACGUAAUUCUUGAAGUCCUUUUGUGUCCAAGGCAAUAUGAGGGAGGGGACACAAAGCUGGCUGUGACCUGGCUCCUGGUGGGUUUGAUGACCUGGAUGCAAGGAGCAAGGUGAGGAGUGCCGCUCAACCAGAGAACAUUCUGGGGGUGCUGGGAUGGCAGAGGGCACUUGUUCUUAGUAUUUUGAAUGGGACUGUUUUACUGAUUUCCUUUUCAGAUAGUCAUUAUCAGUGUACUGAAAUGCAACUGAUUUCAGGAAGCGCUGUGUCUGCGGCUGUUUCCUUCCGCACCCCAGGGGCGGUGGCUCAGGAGUCAGCCUUCCCCAACAUGAAGUCCAGGCUUGGAUGCUUUGAGCCAAUUCUGCUCAAGCUGUUGGUCACCUCCAUCAAACACUCAGGGGACUGCCUUUUGCCCCUGGAUGGAUCAUCUCUGCUCUGAUGAUUCUGGCAUCAGCCUGAGAGCCAGCAGGGGAGCUGGCUUUCAACAGAGGCCUCUGGAACCUCAUGCUUUUUAGAUGUUCAGUUGAAAUCAGGAGCUUUAUGACUCUUCCUUUAUUCAGAAGCCCAUCAAAGCCAAUGUGGGAGCUGCUGUGGAUUCAGCAUCACACCAGCAUGGCCCUUCAGCCCCACCACGUUCCACUCUGUCCUCACUCUCUUUCCAAGGGAAUUUUCUUGCUUCUGCAGACCCUGCCUGGGUGGGGCAGAAAAAGCCCUGGGAGGCAGAAGAUCCAGGACCACUUUCCUGACUGUCACUCAGCCACAUGCUUCGCAUGAGUUACACUAGGACUCUCUUAGGCCUCAGUUGUCUGAGCUGUAAAAUGGAGAUCAUAAUGCCCCCUUACGGAUUCACCAUGUGGGUUACAUGAGAAACCCGGCACCUGCCACAGUCUGCCACACGGUGGUAUUUCAUGAACGUGUGGAAGGGUGAAUGUCUGCAGAAGAGGCAAGAGGAUGGAGAGUGUCGGAAAAAGAGUGAUGGUGAUGACGUGCCUGAGAGCCCAGUCCCUGGAUGGACAGGCAGACCAAUGCCCCAGCCACUGAAACUGACCCUUGUGCAAUAGGAAGACUGGGCUGGAAAAGCAAAAGUCAUCAGGAGAAGUAGGCGCCAUGAGCUGAAGGAGGAGGCCACUUGGAUGACAACAACAGGGUACGAGCCAUCCAAGAUCAGAGGUUAAGUCCAUCCUUCUAUGGCUAAGACUAGACCCACCGAAGGGAAUGCUGUCCCAGUCAAAAUCGAUAAUAAAGAAAAACCACCCCAUGGUGACAGAUGGUAACUAGACUUAUCAUGGUGGUCAUUUUGUA